rnacentral:rRNA from 1 species
UACGGAGGAUGCGAGCGUUAUCCGGAUUUAUUGGGUUUCAAGGGUGCGCAGGCGGAUUUUUAAGUCAGCGGAAAACAUGCGGGGCCCAACCCCGUCGAGCCGUUGAAACUGGUUUUCUUGAGUGGGCGAGAGGUAUGCGGAAUGCGUGGUGUAGCGGUGAAAUGCAUAGAUAUCACGCAGAACCCCGAUUGCGAAGGCAGCAUACCGGCGCCCAACUGACGCUGAGGCACGAAAGCGUGGGUAUCGAACAGG